UGGGGAAUAUUGGACAAUGGGCGCAAGCCUGAUCCAGCCAUGCCGCGUGAGUGAUGAAGGCCCUAGGGUUGUAAAGCUCUUUCACCGGUGCAGAUAAUGACGGUAACCGGAGAAGAAGCCCCGGCUAACUUCGUGCCAGCAGCCGCGGUAAUACGAAGGGGGCUAGCGUUGUUCGGAUUUACUGGGCGUAAAGCGCACGUAGGCGGACUUUUAAGUCAGGGGUGAAAUCCCGGGGCUCAACCCCGGAACUGCCUUUGAUACUGGAAGUCUUGAGUAUGGUAGAGGUGAGUGGAAUUCCGAGUGUAGAGGUGAAAUUCGUAGAUAUUCGGAGGAACACCAGUGGCGAAGGCGGCUCACUGGACCAUUACUGACGCUGAGGUGCGAAAGCGUGGGGAGCAAACAGG
rnacentral:rRNA from 1 species